AAGGGACUUGGACUAUAGAAAGGGUUAGAGGCCUUGCUGGUGUGGGAAGUUGGUGGUUGUAAGUCGGUUUCGAAGGAGAGUGUAUGGUUGUUGGAUUCAUGUUGUUGGGUCUCAAUGGGUUUUCCAUGACAGAUUCCCAUUGAAACAAAAACCCAAGAAGAAAGAUAAUUCGUGAAAUCACUAGUAAAUCAAGAAAGCUGAGGCAUGAACAAAAAACUCAAAUAAAAGUAGAGAAAUUUAGAACAUC
rnacentral:misc_RNA from 1 species